rnacentral:rRNA from 1 species
AGUGAACGCUGGCGGUAUGCCUAACACAUGCCAGUCGAACGGCAGCACAGUAAGAGCUUGCUCUUACGGGUGGCGAGUGGCGGGCGGGUGAGGAAUACAUCGGAAUCUACUUUUUCGUGGGUGAUAACGUAGGGAAACUUACGCUAAUACCUCAUACUACCUACGGGUGAAAUCAGGGGAUCUUCGCACCUUUCGCGAUUGAAUUAGCCGGUGUCGGAUUAGCUAGUUGGCGGGGUAAAGUCCCACCAAGCCGACGAUCCGUAGCUGGUCUGAGAGGAUGAUCGGCAAACCUGGACCUGAGACACGGCCCAGACCCCUACGGGAGGAAGAGGUGGGAAAUAUUGGCCAAUGGGGGCAAGCCUGCUCAAGCAAUACCGCGUGGGUGAAGAAGGCCUUCGAGUUGUAAAGCCCUUUUGUAGGGAAAGAAAAGCAGCAGGUUAAUACCCCGCUGUUCUGACGGUACCAAAAGAAUAAGCACCGGCUAACUUCGU